rnacentral:rRNA from 1 species
GGCCUAUAUGGUACAUAAUGCUAAUCUUUAACAUACUCUUAGUUCGGAUUAAAAUCUGUAACUCGAUUUUAUGAAGUUGGAAUCGCUAGUAAUCGUAAAUCAGAAUGUUACGGUGAAUACGUUCUCGAGCCUUGUACACACCGCCCGUCACACCAUGGAAGUAAAUUGUAUCAUAAGUAAUUUAAUUAUUACAACGGUAUGAUUUGUAACUGGGGUGAAGUCGUAACAAGGUAGCUGUAGGGGAACCUG